rnacentral:lncRNA from 1 species
AUCACACAUUGUACCUUUGACAGAGUGCCCCCCAUAAGCUGGAGAAGUCCUGCUCUCUUAGCAGAGGCAGGAGACUGUUUUCCCAAGGCAGGGACCCAGGAUACAUCUGGAUAUGACCACAUCAUGAGAGAGUCAUGAUAUUAUGUGUGGCUAUUUUUCAAUUUCACUUUAACUGUAGAAUGCACUUUUAUAAUACGAAUACUACUGGACUUAAUAAGGUACAAAAGCAUCUCAGUAGUACAUGGUACCUUUAAAUGAAAUGCUUCUCCCCCCCCCCCAACAGAAGAAACACCAGCAAAUUCUUUUAAAUUAUCAUUUUCUUGAUGGAGCAACAAAUGCAAGCCUUAAGCCAGGACAAGUCCGAGUUUCUGUUUCCAUUCCCAUAUCGAAAAAGGUACAAGAAACGAAAGAUUUGCUCACAAAUGAAUACAGUAGAAUGACAUCUCACCUGGGCUCAGCUUCCAAGUGAAAAUCAAGAAUCAUCAAAAUUAACCUUAACAUACUGCCCCACGACACCAAGAGAAACCAAGAUAAAAAGGAUUAAAAUGUCAGAACUGAAAUCCAAAGAAUAAAAGAACAAAUCAU